UAUAUGUUGAUGUUUAUGCAUGUAGGUUUUUGAACCCUAAUGAUUUGGUGAAAAUCCAUUACAUAUAA
rnacentral:tRNA from 1 species